rfam:Schistosoma mattheei strain Denwood, Zambia genome assembly, scaffold: SMTD_scaffold0002654
AUCCAGCUAACGACGAGUCCCGAAUAGGACGAAACGCGCGUCCUGGAU